UACGUAGGGGGCGAGCGUUAUCCGGAUUUAUUGGGCGUAAAGCGUGUGUAGGCGGUUUAUUAAGUCUAAGAUUAAAGCCCGAGGCUUAACCUCGGUUCGUUUUAGAAACUGGUAGACUUGAGUGUGGUAGAGGCAAGUGGAAUUUCUAGUGUAGCGGUUAAAUGCGUAGAUAUUAGAAGGAACACCAGUGGCGAAGGCGGCUUGCUGGGCCAUUACUGACGCUGAGACACGAAAGCGUGGGGAGCAAAUAGG
rnacentral:rRNA from 1 species